AACAGGAAUUAUAUAGUUAGGGUGCGCCACACACUCUAACUGUAUAAUUCCUGUCCC
rnacentral:pre_miRNA from 1 species